AAGGGAUGAGAAACAAAUUCUCAAGAAGGAAGACAAACAAAUUCUCAAAAAGGAAGGGACAAAUUCUUAAAUUUUUAUUAAUUCUCAACAAUAACAUCAUAAUAAACUCUCCUCUAAAAUACCUAAAACAUAUAAGUAUUUAUAGUACAUCAACUAGUCCUAAUACUAGGAUUUGAAAUUCUUUUAAAAGAAAACCCUAAAAAAAUACUAAUUAGGAAUCAUAAAUCAACACAAA
rnacentral:misc_RNA from 1 species